GAUGUCCUGUGAUGGAGUGUCAUUAGUGUUGAUUUGAACCAUAACCAAUGGAUCCCUUACCGUUGACUUCAAAAGCAUAUCAAAUCUUUGAGUGACGUCUCAUGUCUUGGCUCUGGAAAAGCAGCAAACUGUCCUGUUGUUGACCCCUUCCUUGAAGAAUGUUCCUUCAGUUCUUCUGAUUAUUAAAUCCCCAACAAGGGGAUUUGACACACCUGUCCUAAGAUGCUGACGCUUUUGGCUUGAUGUCUGAAGAUAUGAGAAAUAUGUUGGAGGAGAAAAAUAAUGGCAUUCUGAACCUUGACACCAAGGGAACGGAGCAGAUAUCUCAGUAUUCAGACGUAGUUACCAUAAAUCGGUCAGGUAAAACACAGGCAUAGCUCCUGAGAGGGGCACAGGGAGCCAUGCAGUGGGAUUCCUCUAUUCACAGAUGUUCUGUGAAUCAUGGGAUUGGAACUUCAGUUCCAAGUGGAGUUGGAUUGACAGCUUUUCAAAAUCAUGCCUCCCUCUGCACAAAUCCUCUCCUGUGAGCACAACAUUCCUCGGAAACUGCCAUUCCAACCUUGCUGACUCUUCUGAACAUUUCACCUGAUAUUUGUCUCUUGUGCUAUUGUGUAUAUUUACUGUUUGUGUGUCUAUUGCUCUCCCUUUAAUC